rnacentral:rRNA from 1 species
AGUCGAACGAACUCUGGUAUUGAUUGGUGCUUGCAUCAUGAUUUACAUUUGAGUGAGUGGCGAACUGGUGAGUAACACGUGGGAAACCUGCCCAGAAGCGGGGGAUAACACCUGGAAACAGAUGCUAAUACCGCAUAACAACUUGGACCGCAUGGUCCGAGCUUGAAAGAUGGCUUCGGCUAUCACUUUUGGAUGGUCCCGCGGCGUAUUAGCUAGAUGGUGGGGUAACGGCUCACCAUGGCAAUGAUACGUAGCCGACCUGAGAGGGUAAUCGGCCACAUUGGGACUGAGACACGGCCCAAACUCCUACGGGAGGCAGCAGUAGGGAAUCUUCCACAAUGGACGAAAGUCUGAUGGAGCAACGCCGCGUGAGUGAAGAAGGGUUUCGGCUCGUAAAACUCUGUUGUUAAAGAAGAACAUAUCUGAGAGUAACUGUUCAGGUAUUGACGGUAUUUAACCAGAAAGCCACGGCUAACUACGUGCCAGCAGCCGCGGUAAUACGUAGGUGGCAAGCGUUGUCCGGAUUUAUUGGGCGUAAAGCGAGCGCAGGCGGUUUUUUAAGUCUGAUGUGAAAGCCUUCGGCUCAACCGAAGAAGUGCAUCGGAAACUGGGAAACUUGAGUGCAGAAGAGGACAGUGGAACUCCAUGUGUAGCGGUGAAAUGCGUAGAUAUAUGGAAGAACACCAGUGGCGAAGGCGGCUGUCUGGUCUGUAACUGACGCUGAGGCU